AUACGUAGGGUGCAAGCGUUAAUCGGAAUUACUGGGCGUAAAGCGUGCGCAGGCGGCUUUGUAAGACAGUGGUGAAAUCCCCGGGCUCAACCUGGGAACUGCCAUUGUGACUGCAAGGCUGGAGUGCGGCAGAGGGGGAUGGAAUUCCGCGUGUAGCAGUGAAAUGCGUAGAUAUGCGGAGGAACACCGAUGGCGAAGGCAAUCCCCUGGGCCUGCACUGACGCUCAUGCACGAAAGCGUGGGGAGCAAACAGGAUUAGAUACCCUGGUAGUCCACGCCCUAAACGAUGUCAACUGGUUGUUGGGGAUUUAUUUUCUCAGUAACGAAGCUAACGCGUGAAGUUGACCGCCUGGGGAGUACGGCCGCAAGGUUAAAACUCAAAUGAAUUGGCGGGG
rnacentral:rRNA from 1 species